rnacentral:lncRNA from 10 species
GUUUGAGGUCUUGUAAGGGAAACUGAAGGGAAUUGUGUAUUGAACAGGAUGGCUUAGACCUGCUCAACUUCUGAGAAUUGAGGCAAAGUGGGCAAUCCAGAUGUAUCACUUGACUUUCUGACUACUGGAAGAAUUUCCCUUCAUUAUUGCACACCAGGGGUAUCCCACAGAGAGAAGAGAUCAAAAGAAGGAUGAUCCCCACACAGAUGUGCAAGUGACUAAUUCAGUCCAGAAGGAAACCAGGCCCCCCUCACAGUGUUGAGAGAAGACAGCACCAGCCAGCCUUGUAGCCUGAGAAGCUGUCUCCUCACCAGCUUUCUCCUCACCAACUCUUCAAAGAUCCAGUUGAUACAAAAUGCACAUGCUAAAAUAUGAUUCCCCAGUCCUGUCCAAGCUGAUGUGGUCUUCUCCAAGCCCCCAGUCCUGACCAAGCUGAAUCUCCUUUGUCACUCAUGGGGCAACAGGGACUUACCUGCCAGUGCAGGAGAAAGGAGAGAUCCUUUAGAACAGGAGCUAAGAUGCCAGGAGCUCACGCAAAAUGCUUGAAGAAAGGGGCUUAGCCAGAAACCGAAC